rnacentral:rRNA from 1 species
AUUGAACGCUGGCGGCAGGCCUAACACAUGCAAGUCGAACGGUAACAGGAAGAUGCUUGCUUCUUUGCUGACGAGUGGCGGACGGGUGAGUAAUGUCUGGGAAACUGCCUGAUGGAGGGGGAUAACUACUGGAAACGGUAGCUAAUACCGCAUAACGUCGCAAGACCAAAGAGGGGGACCUUCGGGCCUCUUGUCAUCGGAUGUGCCCAGGUGGGAUUAGCUAGUAGGUGGGGUAACGUCUCACCUAGGCGACCAUCUCUAGCUGGUCUGAGAGGAUGACCAGCCACACUGGAACUGAGACACGGUCCAGACUCCUACGGGAGGCAGCAGUGGGGAAUAUGGCACAAUGGGCGCAAGCCUGAUGCAGCCAUGCCGCGUGUAUGAAGAAGGCCUUCGGGUUGUAAAGUACUUUCAGCGGGGAGGAAGGGAGUAAAGUUAAUACCUUUGCUCAUUGACGUUACCCGCAGAAGAAGCACCGGCUAACUCCGUG